rnacentral:lncRNA from 1 species
CAGAAACUCAGCCUGAGAAUCCCUGGUCCCUUCUCUGAUGCUAUUUUCCCUACUUCCAAGAGUUGGGUCCAGCAGACAAGUGACAAGCCUGGGGAAGUUGACUCUGAGUCUCUCUAAGCUUUCAAAGAUUUUGUGUCUCUUCCUUCUCAAAAGGGGAAAUACGCAGGAUGUAACACCUCAUCGAAGCAGUGCAUCUUCAUUGAUGGAGAAGGUGGUUUCAACAAUUUACAUUCCCUGGUUGGUGAAGAAUUUGAAGUUCUACUUUACACAAAAUGAUAUUACUUGAAUCUGACAGUGAACAGUCAAAGCUAUGAAACCGCAUAGGAAAGUUUUGAAUGGCUUUCUUCUCAACAUUUCUGGGUGAAAAUGAUUGGAAUUUUAGUCGCUGUUGAAACACCACUAUCAGCUAGGCUCUGAAGAUUUUUUUUUAGGUGGGCAGGAAGAGAAACUGCAUAGAUGGCUUCAACUUCAAGUUCAGGUAAUAUAACCUUCCCCCUGUCCCAGGCUCCUGUCUCCCCACAAGAAAACAAAUUUGUGAUGACUAUAAUACUUGAUCUUUGUGCUGGGAAUCAACUUCUCCUGGUCAUCCUGAAAGCAAGAGUAGAAAAGAGAUACCUUGGAAUUGUAUAAAUGCUUUUUCUUUUACAAAGUCCCUCCUUCAUCCCUAUUAAAAGGGUUGCGUUUCUAUGUUAAGAAGAAAGUAAAAAUUACAUAUAGUCCCACUGCACAGGUAUAAACACUAAUAAUAUCUUGCUAAGAUUUCUUUCCAGUGCACAUAUAUGAUUUUUUUUAAACAAUUGAGAUUAAAAAGUCAAUGUAUGUCAUAGAUACACUACUAUGUAUAAACUAGACAACUAAUGAGAAUGUGCUUGAGAAGACCCUUGAGACUCCCUUGAACUGCGAGGAGAUCAAACCAGUCCAUCCUAAAGG